rnacentral:rRNA from 1 species
UACAGAGGAGCCAAGCGUUGUCCGGAUUGACUGGGCGUAAAGCGCACGCAGGCGGUCGCGCGCGUGGGGUGUGAAAUCUGGCCGCUUAACGGCCAGGCGCCAUCCCAUACGGCGCGACUGGAGUGAUGCAGAGGUCGAUGGAAUUGCCGGUGUAGCGGUGAAAUGCGCAGAUAUCAGGAAGAACACCAAUGGCGAAAGCAGCUCUCUGGGACGGUACUGACGCUGAGACGCGAAAGCGUGGGGAGCGAACAGG